AUACGUAGGUGACAAGCGUUAUCCGGAUUUACUGGGCGUAAAGGGCGUGUAGGCGGUCUUGCAAGUCAGAAGUGAAAUUCCUGAGCUCAACUCGGGCGCUGCUUCUGAAACUGCAGGACUUGAGUGCUGGAGGGGAUAGCGGAAUUCCUAGUGGAGCGGUAAAAUGCGCAGAUAUUAGGAAGAACACCGGUGGCGAAGGCGGCUAUCUGGCCAGUAACUGCCGUUGAGGCGCGAAAGCGUGGGUAGCAAACAGGAUUAGAUCCCCUGUUGUUCCACGCCGUAAACGAUGAAUACUAGGUGUAGGGGGUAUCGACUCCCUCUGUACCGCAGUUAACACAAUAAGUAUUCCGCCUGGGGAGUACGGCCGCAAGGUUGAAACUCAAAUGAAUUGACGGGG
rnacentral:rRNA from 1 species